AUCACUUCCUAAUAACCCAUAUUUUAUUGAUAAAACCUAAAUACUAGUCCUAAAUAAAGACUUAAAUACUAGUCUUAAAUAAAGAUUUGAAUACUAGUUCUAAAUUGUACACAAGAACUUAUUUAUGGCUUAGAAAACAAACACCGCAGAAACAUUAAAAUCAACAGUCACACAAUUGGCAACAACAACACGUCAAUAUCCCAUUAGGGUAGAUGCAGUGAAACAAAGGUGCCCAAUUUUAACUGAAAGAAACUUAAGUGUCAAACCAGAUAUUUAAAUUAAAAUACUCAAAUUAUUAGAUAGCAUAGUAAAGAUGUUCUGCAAAUCACACACCAGUUCCACAUGUGAGCUGAAAACCAAAUAACAAUGGAAACCACCCAAUCAAUUUAUACAAAAGUAGAGUUAACAACAUAACCCAAAAAAUCAAUCGGUAAUUACAGGUCUACAAAACUGUAAUCAAAAUAGAUAUGCAAUGGAGGCUCACAAUACAAGAGAUAUAUAUGGUAUAACCAAAUUGGAACCUAAACAAAUAGCAAAACAGUACAAUAGAAAAACAGAAUCAAGACCUCAAACAAGUUCAAGUUUGCGAAGAUA
rnacentral:lncRNA from 1 species